rnacentral:lncRNA from 1 species
AAUUAAAGUCCCUAGAGGGGACCCUGAUCCCGCGAAGCUGGAACUCCGAGAAUCUACGAAUGUACUACCAGUAAAACCCCUAGGGGUUCAAGACAAUCAGGACAAUGGACUCAGCUUCCUUUUCGCAAACAAUUCUCUUAUCUUGAUGGCUGUAAUUCUCUUCUAAUAUUGGGUCGCUGUGAUCCUCAGAUUCCCCGGCCAAAAUCGGGAUGCCUCGAGGCUCGACCGUAGAGUCCCAAACUCCCUCGACCUCGGGAAGAAUCGCAGGACGACGAAACAUCGACUUGGCGCGAAAUUUCCUCGACUAAGGUCAGGAUGCCCCGGUUCGUCGGGAUGCCCCGAGACGUCGGGAUGCCCCGGCUAUAGGGAUGUUCGAGACGUCAAGAUAUG